UACGUAGGGAGCAAGCGUUGUCCGGAUUCACUGGGUGUAAAGGGUGCGCAGGCGGAUCGGUAAGUCAGAGGUGAAAUCUCACAGCUCAACUGUGAAACUGCCUUUGAUACUGCUGAUCUUGAGUUGGGGAGAGGUUGAUGGAAUUCCAGGUGUAGCGGUGAAAUGCGUAGAUAUCUGGAAGAACACCAGUGGCGAAGGCGGUCAACUGGCCCUAAACUGACGCUCAUGCACGAAAGCGUGGGGAUCAAACAGG
rnacentral:rRNA from 1 species